UUUGCCCUGGGAUAUUAUAG
rnacentral:misc_RNA from 1 species